GACGAACGCUGGCGGCGUGCUUAACACAUGCAAGUCGAACGGAAAGGCCCUGCUUUUGUGGGGUGCUCGAGUGGCGAACGGGUGAGUAACACGUGAGUAACCUGCCCUUGACUUUGGGAUAACUUCAGGAAACUGGGGCUAAUACCGGAUAGGAGCUCCUGCUGCAUGGUGGGGGCUGGAAAGUUUCGGCGGUUGGGGAUGGACUCGCGGCUUAUCAGCUUGUUGGUGGGGUAGUGGCUUACCAAGGCUUUGACGGGUAGCCGGCCUGAGAGGGUGACCGGCCACAUUGGGACUGAGAUACGGCCCAGACUCCUACGGGAGGCAGCAGUGGGGAAUAUUGCACAAUGGGCGGAAGCCUGAUGCAGCAACGCCGCGUGCGGGAUGACGGCCUUCGGGUUGUAAACCGCUUUCGCCUGUGACAAAGCGUGAGUGACGGUAAUGGGUAAAGAAGCACCGGCUAACUACGUG
rnacentral:rRNA from 1 species